UGGGGAAUAUUGGACAAUGGGCGCAAGCCUGAUCCAGCCAUGCCGCGUGAAGUGACGAAGGCCUUUAGGGUUGUAAAGCUCUUUUGGCGGGGACGAUAAUGACGGUACUCGCAGAAUAAGCUCCGGCUAACUUCGUGCCAGCAGCCGCGGUAAUACGAAGGGAGCUAGCGUUGUUCGGAAUCACUGGGCGUAAAGCGCACGUAGGCGGAUUAUUAAGUCAGGGGUCGAAAUCCCGGGGCUCGAACCUCGGAACUGCCUCUGAUACUGAUAGUCUCGAGUCCGGAAGAGGUGGGUGGAAUUCCCUAGUGUAGAGGUGAAAUUCGUAGAUAUUAGGAAGAACACCGGUGGCGAAGGCGGCCCACUGGUCCGGUACUGACGCUGAGGUGCGAAAGCGUGGGGAGCAAACAGGAUUAGGAUACCC
rnacentral:rRNA from 1 species